rnacentral:rRNA from 1 species
ACGGUUACCUUGUUACGACUUCACCCCAAUCGCUGACCCUACCUUAGGACGCUUCCUCCCUUGCGGGUUAGAUCACGUACGUUGGGUAUUGCCAACUCUCAUGGUGUGACGGGCGGUGUGUACAAGGCCCGGGAACGUAUUCACCGCGACAUGCUGAUUCGCGAUUACUAGCAACUCCAGCUUCAUGUAGGCAAGUUUCAGCCUACAAUCCGAACUGAGACAAGUUUUUGAGUUUUGCUCCACCUCACGGUCUUGCUUCUCUUUGUACUUGCCAUUGUAGCACGUGUGUAGCCCUAGACAUAAGGGGCAUGAUGAUUUGACGUCAUCCCCACCUUCCUCCCGGUUAACCCGGGCAGUCUCGCUAGAGUGCUCAACUAAAUGGUAGCAACUAACAAUAAGGGUUGCGCUCGUUGCGGGACUUAACCCAACAUCUCACGACACGAGCUGACGACAACCAUGCACCACCUGUCUUCCUGUCCCCGAAGGAACUUCCCCGAUUAAGGGUAAUGCANGAGAUGUCAAGUCUAGGUAAGGUUCUUCGCGUUGCUUCGAAUUAAACCACAUGCUCCGCUGCUUGUGCGGGCCCCCGUCAAUUCCUUUGAGUUUUAAUCUUGCGACCGUACUCCCCAAGCGGAAUACUUAAUGCGUUAACGGCGGCACAGAAGUCAU